rnacentral:rRNA from 1 species
UACGGAGGAUCCAAGCGUUAUCCGGAUUUAUUGGGUUUAAAGGGAGCGUAGGUUGACAUAUAAGUCAGCUGUGAAAGUUUACGGCUCAACCGUGAAAUUGCAGUUGAUACUGUAUGUCUUGAGUGUACAAGAGGUGGGCGGAAUUCGUGGUGUAGCGGUGAAAUGCUUAGAUAUCACGAAGAACUCCAAUUGCGAAGGCAGCUCACUGGGGUACAACUGACACUGAGGCUCGAAAGUGUGGGUAUCAAACAGGAUUAGAUACCCUGGUAGUCCACACAGUAAACGAUGAAUACUCGCUGUUUGCGAUAUACAGUAAGCGGCCAAGCGAAAGCAUUAAGUAUUCCACCUGGGGAGUACGCCGGCAACGGUGAAACUCAAAGGAAUUGACGGGGGCCCGCACAAGCGGAGGAACAUGUGGUUUAAUUCGAUGAUACGCGAGGAACCUUACCCGGGCUUGAAUUGCAGAGGAAUAUAGUUGAAAGAUUAUCGCCGCAAGGUCUCUGUGAAGGUGCUGCAUGGUUGCCGUCAGCUCGUGCCGUGAGGUGUCGGCUUAAGUGCCAUAACGAGCGCAACCCUUAUCAUUAGUUACUAACAGGUCAUGCUGAGGACUCUAGUGAGACUGCCGUCGUAAGAUGUGAGGAAGGUGGGGAUGACGUCAAAUCAGCACGGCCCUUACGUCCGGGGCUACACACGUGUUACAAUGGGGGGUACAGAGGGCAGCUACCGGGCGACCGGAUGCCAAUCCCAAAAACCUCUCUCAGUUCGGAUCGAAGUCUGCAACCCGACUUCGUGAAGCUGGAUUCGCUAGUAAUCGCGCAUCAGCCACGGCGCGGUGAAUACGUUCCCGGGCCU